rnacentral:tRNA from 1 species
GCUGGCGUAGCUCAGUUGGCAGAGCAGCUGAUUUGUAAUCAGCAGGUCGUCGGUUCGAAUCCGACCGCCAGCUCCA